rnacentral:misc_RNA from 1 species
UGCAAGGCAAUGUUUGAGCAAGUAGAUUUGACGUUUCAAAAAGGAUUUGCUGAACACACUGGUUCCGCUCUACAGCAAUUUGAGUCCAUGCAUUCACCGUUAGUACAUGCUUUAAGGGAUGCCAUUAAUUCUGCAUCAUCGAUGACUCAAACAUUGAGUGGAGAGCUAGCUGAUGGUCAAAAGAAGUUGCUUACACUUGCAGUUUCAGGAGCAAAUUCCAAGUUAUCGAAUCCACUGGUUAGCCACAUGAGUAAUGGACCAUUACUGCAUGAGAAGCUUGAAGCUCCUGUUGAUCCAAUCAAAGAGUUAUCAAGAUUGUUGGCGGAGCGCAAGUACGAGGAGGCAUUCACUACAGCCUUGCACAGAACUGAUGUGUCUAUUGUAUCAUGGUUAUGUUUGCAGGUUGAUCUGUCGGGUAUCUUGUCAAUGAAUCCUCUCCCGUUGAGUCAAGGUGUACUUCUUUCACUUCUUCAGCAGGUGGCGUGUGAUAUUACCAAUGAGACAUCUCGAAAAUUAUCCUGGAUGAGGGAUGUGGUAUCAGCCAUAAAUCCAACUGACCCGGUGAUUGUACUGCACGUACGGCCUAUUUUCGAGCAAGUAUAUCAAAUACUAAACCAUCAUCGGACUCUACCUACCACAACCCCCGCGGAACUUUCAAGCAUUCGCCUUAUAAUGCAUGUUAUCAACUCUAUGCUCCAUGUUCCAUGCUAAUGAGACCUGUAAAUGAUUUUUCACGAACAACAUACUAUUUCGCCUGGUGAGUUAUUAAAGUUUGUACAAAUUGUUCUGGAUAGACAAAAAGUACUAUAGAGUUGAAGCCUUCACCUACCUUUUAUGUUGAUUUCUACUGUUGAUUUUUUUUUUCCAAGGUAAAAUCUUAUAGUCGGGUCGGGUCGGAUUUUCGGGUUUGUUGAGUAUUAGUCUUUUUUGGUUGGAAG